rnacentral:rRNA from 1 species
UCGGCUCAGAAACGACGCUGGCGGCAUGCCUAACACAUGCAAGUCGAACGAGACCUUCGGGUCUAGUGGCGCACGGGUGCGUAACGCGUGGGAAUCUGCCCUUGGGUUCGGAAUAACAGUUGGAAACGACUGCUAAUACCGGAUGAUGACGUAAGUCCAAAGAUUUAUCGCCCAGGGAUGAGCCCGCGUAGGAUUAGCUAGUUGGUGAGGUAAAGGCUCACCAAGGCGACGAUCCUUAGCUGGUCUGAGAGGAUGAUCAGCCACACUGGGACUGAGACACGGCCCAGACUCCUACGGGAGGCAGCAGUGGGGAAUAUUGGACAAUGGGCGAAAGCCUGAUCCAGCAAUGCCGCGUGAGUGAUGAAGGCCUUAGGGUUGUAAAGCUCUUUUACCCGGGAAGAUAAUGACUGUACCGGGAGAAUAAGCUCCGGCU